UUACUUGUAUUGGUAGUGUUAUGUUAUUAUAUUAUUAGUGUUGGCUUGCCAACUACGACGAUAAACGAAUUUCGUAAUAACCAUUACGGACGUGGGGGCAGUACCCACCACCUCCACCAUUAUAUUAACGGGGGUGAAAUAGGAUCGACGGGUGACUAAAGGCUAUUCUUUCGUUCGGGAUUGUUCCACCGUAACGGGCUAAACUUUAAAUGCUGACGAAAGUUACGCACUUGCUGCAUAAUUAACUUAGGUUAAUUAUAGAAGCACGGUCUGGGGCACCGGGUAACAGAACGCCCCUACU
rnacentral:tmRNA from 1 species